GCGGGGCUGCUGUCCUCGGCUCCGUCCCCGCUAGAGCCGCCCGGUACGCGGCAAUAAAAGAGGUGAUAAUGACAAACGGAGCCGAUCUGUUCCUCGUUCGUUCGUUCUCCCAGAUGACAGCUAUCACGGCUGUUCAGGACUUCUGUCAUCCAAGGAGCAGCAGGUCACCCUGAGGCCAUCGGGGACUGAUUCCAUCCAUGGGGAUGAGGCCAUGCAGUGUGAGAAAGUGCUGUUGUGUAAUGAUGAAGAAUGGAAGCUCCUGCUGGAAGCCGAGCAAGGUGAAGGAGCAGCCUGAUUGCACUUGCGCUGCUUAUCUGGCUGCUUGAUCCAUGAGAACGUGUCUCGGAGCAUCUGGAAACGUGUGGAUAGCUUCCAUCCCCUCCCAGAGACUUGCGGGUCCUGGCUGCGCGCAGGAGGAGGAUGGGAGAUUUGGAGCCGUGGCCGCUCUGCAUGGCAACAUGCCUGUGAGGUUUGCUGUGCUUGGAUAGAGCAGAACUGUGCAAAAACAGAACAAGAUGGGAUUUUUCCAGGUUUAAUUUGAGCUUUAACUUGUUCCAAGUGUAACAUUGAGAUCUUACCGCUUCUUUUGUUUUCCACGCUCCGCUGCGCUCUGUGGCAGCAGCAGUCACAAGUGUCAGACCAUCAACUAAGCCUGGUUUUGAGUUGAGUGUGAAGGAAACUACACUGACAAUGAAAACACUCGCGGGGUAUUUCCAUGCCAAGGCUGUGUGCAGGUUUGGCACCCCUCCUCCCUUUGCACACCCCACAGUGAUGUUGGAGCUCAGUGGGUGAAGGUGGGAGCGGGGCCACUCGUGGCAGCCAUGGUGCAUGGGUCCGGUGGGAUUUGCGUCUCUAUUUCUCUGUUGCUGUUCUGAGUGGAGCUUGUGUGAGUAAACCUAUUGUGGUUUUAAGUUAACGUGCAAUUGGACAAGGAAGAUUAUUUGAGUGUUUGCUCUGUAUGUUUCUCCUUUGUCUUUUGUCUUGCUUGACUGAUACACAGCAAUGCACUUUGGCAACCUCAGCCUACCCCUCUACUCUCAUUAGCACUCCAGCAUGUGUUUUUACUUUAUGGAGGGCCGCACGGCGUUGCGGAUGGCAAUGGGAGAGGAGGUGGUGUGGGUAUGUGGCAACCACUUCUAGCACUGACAGCAUCCUGGCAUUUUUGAGAAGCCAGAGUUGUCACACGGUUUGUUCUGAAAGCCAUUUGCAAUCUUAACUGUAGUAACAGUCAUAAUCAUCGUCCCGCUAGUGCAGAGGAUGUGUGGGAGAAACAGGCCUCCUUGAAAAUUCCCUCCGAGGCCGUGCCAAGCCUGAAGCAAUCUUUUUUUCAUGACGGAAAGCCGUUCUCACGGCGGUGGGUAGCAGCCCAGCUGCGACGUGUCAGCGCCGAGCGCUGCGUCCCGCUCUGGAGCAGCACGGCUCCGCUGCAUCCUCUCGUCAAGUGUGUAGGAGGCGGCGUGGUCGUUUCUGCAGAAGCAGGGAAAUGCAGCCCUGGCUGUGCUGCGAUGUCCUCUGAGUCAGCAGAGCGGCCCUGUGCCCUCCCGGCCUCGCAGCCUGCUGCAUGGAGCGGCGGUGCCGCAUGGCAGCCCCUGGGACGCAGCGCAGCCACACACAACGGAUGGGGCUGUCAGAGCCGUGCUGUGUGCUUAUGGCUGGGGAGGUGCUCUGGGCACAGGGCUUGUCGCUGCUGCAGAAAAUUGCCCCACAGGGGGUCGUUUCUUGUGCUUCUUCCCAGCCUGAUAGCGUGUGGUAGGAUGGAGCUUUGGAAGCUGGAUGAAAAUCAGUUCUGAGUUUAAAAAUGCAGCCAGGUGUGGUCGGUCGAGUCAUUUUUCUGCCUCCUGAUGCUUCAUAGACAUGUCAGCAGUGGACAUCAUCACAAGCAUAAGGAACGAAGUGAUCUAAAACUCUCCACCAAGCAGGGAAGUAGCAUUAAUCUUGUUUUAUUCAGAGGGAGAUGGAAAUAAAGGAGUUUGAUACAGCUUGUCCAACAUCACAUGGAGGAUCUCUUUUACAAAAACCAGAUCUCUCAUCUCUUAAUCUGAGGCAUUAGCUGCAGCAACAUCCUUCUUCCUUAACGUCCCUUCAUGCAUGCAGUAACUUUGCACUAACGGUCUGUUUUUAUUGGGCAUCGCCUUGAGAAAUGAUUUCUUUGAGCCCCGGCCAACUCACUCACUGGCUUUUGUUCAGCUGUAAUGAGAUGGCUUAACAUAAAUUCAGGAGCAUGCCAGGGCUUUGCACCUGAACAGGCAGCCAGAGGUCUGAACCCUACGUCCAACACUUAGAAAAACAUCCCCGGAUGUUGUUUGCAGAGAAUCAGUGAGGAAGAGGAUGAAUGCAGAUGUGUGACACGUGCCAGCUGCAGCGAUCUCAGGUACUUGGGCCUGAUUCUUUCUCGUGUUACGCUGUAUCAUUGCUCCCUGGUUCAGUCUGCAUCUUUUCUGUCAGAGAGGCAGGGAGGGGAAGAUGUGGCCUCACAUCAGCGAUGUUGGGCCCAAGCAUGACUCCAGAGAGGCUGGCUGAUUGGGGGCAGAAGGAAGCGAGGUUUUGGUGGUGGUAGAGGGGCAGUGCUGGGUCCUACAGCAGAAUGGGGCAGUGGGAGUGCCAGGGCCUUCCGUGCCACCCUGAUUCUGAACAGUAUUGCUGUGACUGACUUUGUUUGCUGUUUGCAAUAGUUUUCUCUUUGGGUCCCAGACCAGGCAGUUUUUGGCUUGGUUUUAAUUACCAUCUGACCUCCUCACUGCUAGUUCUCUUCUGCACUUGCUGUGUUGCAGUCAUUUUGCUCUGGGCGGUAUUCUGGGAAAAACUAGGACAAGCUCCUUGGUGCCUUUGGUAGAUGUUAUGCCUGGAAGGUGGCCCAGUGCUGUAAGAAAUGCUCCUGACUGAGUAAGAGAAGCCAAGAAGUAAAAAGUUAGGAUAGCAUUCCAGUUAAAACAUGGGAGCACCUCUUGCCAUUUCAGAGUGGCUUAGCCUAUGUCAUCACAGUGCUGAAAGAAAGGAGGGUCUGGAUGCCGCAGCUCCCAGGAGAGUACUGAUCAUAUAAACAACAAUGAAAAGCUUCCAGUGAUAGCCUGGAACACCACCUUCUGUCUGUCUGUGUAGUGCUGGGGAGGACAGCCCCACAAGGCAGGCCCCAGCGUGCGCUCCUGUCGGUGUGGGUGCUGCUGGCAAGAGGUGGUGGUUCUGCUAUGGGUUUGUCAAGUCCUUUUUCUAACGGGGCUCUGGCCUGAUGGUGCUGUAGCUGUGUAAAGGGUGAAUAUUGAAAUGUUAUUAUCUAGUCCUGAGCAGGCACAAACUCGCUGUUUUUCAUCCCUGCUGAAUUUGCCAUCCCUACUGAGUUAUUCUUAGAAUGUUGUUGAAUAAAAGCCUAGCUUGUCAGCAUGGCUUCUUUUUGAUUGUAUUUGUGCACUGAGUCUAACCUACGGACAAUGGCGAGCGUCAUACUGAUUUGUGGAAAUGCUCCUAAUUCUUUGUCUUGUGCCUUUUUAAAUGAAGCAGUCUCUGAAGUGUUUAUCUACAGCGCAUAAAAGCCCCUAUAAAUGGAUGCAUAUUCCUAACUUUAUAAGACUUGCAUAUUAAUCUGCUUAUUUUCUGCCUGAACAAAGGGCCUCCGGAACCCACAAACGUAGUCAUAAUUCUCCUGAUCUGGUUUGCUGCAAGGUUUUGCUUGACUACACAGAUGUUUUCCAUGUAUUUGGCAAAAGAGGGGUCAAAGCCUGCAUCUGGCCCACUAUUUCUGGCAAAAACCCCGAUGUGCUUAAUCCUUUUUGAACAUGAAUAUUCUGAGAGCUCAUUUGAUUUAUUAACCUGAUUAUUUUAAUGUGGAGAAACAAUGUGGAACAGUGACCUUCGUUCAGGAAAAUGCUUGUCCAAGUGUUUCUGCUCUGAAUCCGUCCAAGCUCAAUGCAGAGUGUGUGAAGGACUGGUGUACACCACAGGGCUACUCAGGGACACAGGUAAGCCUCUUUGCAAGACUCAGGUAUGGUUGGCUCUUGUGCUCUGCGCUGUGUAGUGGGACCUGAGCCAUGAAGUAAUGCAAACAAGGUCUGGAGGAGGGGUUAGGUUGCUUUUCCCCGUAGCUGAGGAGUCCCAGCCUGGGCAGUAUUGCAUGGGGCUCUUCAUACAGGUGUGGGCUGAGCUCACCUGAAAAUCACAGCAGGGCAUGUGGGGACUGGUCAUGUGUAGUAUUGCUGAAUGAGCAAGAAGAGUUGGUUUUCAGGGGAUGUUACACCAUGCGGUUUCAUUAAACACUCCUCUCCAUCUCCCUAAAGAGCAGGAGAUCACCUCUUCCUGUCUGCUUUGGGAACGUGCAGCGAUAUCCCCAUUCUCUGCUGGGUAGAGCUAUCUGAGUGUCCCCAGUGUGUAUUGAGCAGGGCGCUGUACAGACAUGAGGCAGAUGGAUGCCAUCCUUGAGGGCUUUGCAAUAGAAGUGUAUUUCCUCAGUGAAUGGCAGUGCUGCAGGAUGAGUAAUGCCCUUAACAUUUUAUACGGAGCUUCGCAGUCUGUAUGACGGGGCUGUAGUCUGGGUCACUAUUCCUCCCUUCCUAUUACUCACAGAUAAACUGACUAAUUCACACAUUUUUGGCCAACAGUUUUCAAAGUUGGCUGCCUAAAAGAAAGCAUCUUUAACGAGAGCGGCUGGGUUUCAGAAGCUGCUGAGGAGCCACUGAUGCCAAGCAGAGCCCAAUUUACAAUCACUGAGCCAAGUUUUUCUUUAUAACUGCAAACCCUGGUAAGCAUUAUCACUGUAGCUGGGAUUGGAAGGGUACCGGGCUCCAGCCAACCCCAAGAGCAGUGCAGCAGCCAGGAGCAGGCCGGGCAUGCAGCCGGGAUGCCCAGGGAGGUAUCUGCGGGGGAUGAGCACUGCUUUUGCAAGCUGGGUGUUGGAAAAGGAAACCGAUGGAAACAAUAACCGAAGCCAAUAAACAAUCCUGUAUGCAACAAACUUUAAAAUUCUCCAUUUCGUAAGAAAUAGCAAUUGCUCGGGGCCAGUAUCAUAAACGCCCAUCUCAGAGUGCUUCCCUCAGCUCUGACCAUGACCAGAUGUUUAGUCAAAUCCUGUUAACCUCCGUUUCACAAGUUCAGGCUCUUCCUGUGCUCGGGGCCAGAACCAAAGCUGGCUGGUGUGAUGGAGGGCCUCCUUGGGACACAGGGGCUCCAGGUCGGGACUUGAGAUGGUUCGUGUGAGUAUUGGAAAGCAGUUCUCAAACAGCUCUCACUGUGUUUUGAGUACUGCUCGCUUCUGGGCUUUGAAAAUGUGUCAGUGUAGGCAUCUGUGAAAAUCAGUCUCUGUGAGAGACACUGAGUGAAACCUGGGGAUGAGGAAGGACACACGUCUAAAGGCUCGUGAAAAGCUGAGCUCACACAACUUGUGUUACAUGUUGGAUGCAUUGUAUUCUCCUCUGUUGCAGAGAAAUCUCAAUGGGAAAAGAAAUCUGGAUGUUUCAAAACGUACUUCUUUUCAUUCUGCAUGUAUGGCAUGGAUUGAAUAGCAGUCAUCCAGAAAGCAGAAAUACCAGUGUCAGAGUCAGAACGCUUAUACAGGGUAGAGAUUUGCUGUUCCAUUUCACUCUUCUAUCCUGGUGUGACUUUGUGACCUCAAGAAAUCCCUUUCUAUCAUGAAAGCUGUCUCCAAGAAUUGGCACCUUUGUGAUUACAUCUCAUUUCUGGUGCUGGAGAGCUGCAUCCAGGAGCUCAAGCUGUGAAGUGGUGAACAAAGCCCUCUGCUAUCUUGUGCUUCUUCACAUAGAUGAAAAUGGACACAAAGAAGCUGGAUUGUGUCUUAAGGUGAAGAAAGAUGCAGCAGCAACUUUGUGAUGGUGCUCCUGGAGAGCAGCGCGGUGCAGCUGGGCUGUGGGGACCACCAGCAUCCCUGCCUCUGCAUCACCCCAUCCAGCACUGGGAAGCACUUCUGUAGGCGUGGAGGUUUCCAUCUUCCAGGCUGUUUGGGCAUGGAGUGCUCCAACAAGGUCACUGACUUGCCCUGUUAUUCUGAAGGUCUCCAUAUCCAUGUGACAUGUGCAGUCCAUGUGAACUAUCUACAGACAUUAGAGAUUUACACUUUUUGUAGACCUUUGAGGAUGCAAAUCCUACAAGUUGCACUUUAAAGAUCUUCUGCUUGGCGUCACAGCCCCAUCCGUGCCAUCUGGAGGAGCGGAGCAGCCCCGAGCUGGCUGAUGGAGACAAGCUGAAACCAGACGUAUAUCUGUGGAGAUCUAUUCUUCUGAAGCACGGACAGAUUUCCUGAGCGCCACCAUUCCAAAGGCAGGCACAGGGAUGCAGCACCAGGCACCAAAGCAUUGUCCAGCCCAUCAGCACAAAGUGACAUGAGAGGGUGUCUGGACUAAAGUAUAGGCAAGAGAAGCUAAACUAAGCCCUACUAAGCAGAGCAACGUCCCAGUCCUGCAAGAAGCUGGUGCUGAAGUGCAAAAGGGUCUGCAAAAACUGAAGACAAAGGAAGCCUCAAAAUAGUGAAACUUCAGAUGAGAAAUUCUUGUGUGUGAGUUCUGGUUUGUUUGUUUGUUUGUUUGUUUUUAAUAUUUCCUACAACCUCUUUAUCUCUUUUACAUUUGAAUGAACUAAAGAAACCAAAAUCUGAGGAAACUGGCUGUGGCAGAAAGCAGAGCCAAGGCCAGGUUUCCAGGGGAUGAGUAAGAAAGAAACCUACAGCAAGUAACCAAAACCAAAACCCAGCCUCGAGCUGUUAUCAUCAAGUUAUCUUGAGUAAACUAUGUAUUGUGUAUUUCCUGAAGAGCAUGACCAAAAUUCAUUGAGACCAUUGCUCUCUCAGUAGGUUAUGGCGAAAUGCCCAACUAAUGUUGUAUGCCUCCUUUUUGAUACAUAGCCAAAAGGAUUUGUUGGUUUGUUUUCACUCAUUCCUUACUCAUGAAAAAGAAGUGAGCUUAAUGGGUUUUGCAAUUCAUUUUUCAUUUGUUCGGAAGCACUUCCUCCAUCCAAACCAUAGACAGAUUGUUUCCCAGCAUAGAAAAAUCUGUACUGAUGUGGCUGAGAUUUAGCCACCUCAUUUGCUCUACCAGGAGCGCUCUGAACUUCUGCAGGGCACAGUGAGUUUCUGGUGGCAGCACCAAACUUGACUUAUUCCAAAAAACUUCCCCAAAUGGUAAAGUAUCACUGAAAAGAAAGAAAACACAAUUGUCUUCAACCAUUAUGGCUGCCCUAAUUUGAAUCACAUGGGAAAGCGCUUUGUUAAUGGCUUUGUUCUUUUACUCCUUGUUGGCAAUACAACAAAACAAAACGCCCCAUUCUUUGUUGUUUUUCCUUUAUGUGUUGCUUUUCCAUCUGGUUUGAGAAGAAACUGGCCUCCUGGGUCAGUAAUCAUGUUGAAAGACUUGAGAACUGGGGUAGAUUCCCUCAAAUUCCUGAAUAACUCCUGACUGACCACUUUACCUCCACUGCUCUUCUGUAAAAUGGCAGUAAGUUGACUUUACCUCCUAGGGCCUUUGUUAGAAAAUGUAUUUAUUGCUGCACGCAGGUACCCAAAAUUCAAGGCAAAUGCGUGUUGUAUUUUUCAUUACAGCAUGUCCUGUGUAGAGUUUAAGCUAAUAUGCCCCGAUUAUGGCUCACGAUGAUGCGAUGAUUCGUAAGAGGAACAAGUUGGAAUAGAUUGAAAUAUAUACAUGUAAAAGAAGGGUGUGCGGCCUCCCAGCACUCUUUGAAAUAUAAAUGUGAGAAUUCCUUUAGGUGUAGUGCUGGAAGCCCUGGAAACCCUCAUGCCAGCUCACACGGGCAGGUGCUGAGCAGAAGGAGCAUGCCAGGAGACAGAGAAGAUUUGGUUUCUGCCAGCAGGCCGCAAAGGCUGCAGCCCCACAGUGCUCUGUUGUUGCAAGCCUAGGACAGGCAGUGGGAUGCACCCUAAAAGCCUCAACCAUGGUUGCUAAAGAGCUCCGCUGGGAACACAGGCACAGCUCCUGCCUUUGUGGGAGCUAACAUUGAACUCCUGUGCUCGGCGACCACCUACCACACUGCACGAGCAAGAGGUCACUUGUUGGCAUGCAGCACCAGGUACAGCGGCAUUUCCUCCCUGGUGGUCUCGGGAGGGGCUCAGAGGAGGGCUGCCUGGGACCCCAAGCUCCGGCCCUGUGCACCAAGAGCAGAGGUGCAGGGUUAGCCACACCACGGCAUGAGCUCUUCAUUGUCCACUACUGGGUUUCAACACGCUUUGGGAAGCCGCCAUUCCUUAGGAGCUGUCUUAUGCUCUACUGCCUACGUGAAAUGCAGAUGGACCCAGUGGUCUGCCCAAAAUGAAAUAAAAGCUGGAUGUGCUGUUCAUUCCAGAUGUUUCCAGAACAGAUGCAAAACAUUCCAGGGUCGCUCUUCUCAAGGUGUUGGGGUCACUUGCUGGAUUGUUUUCACUGAAGGCUCGGUACGACCCAAGUCACCGAUCCUUUCCAGUUAAGUCACUUCAGAUGAACACAGUGAAAGCCAAUAAAUAAACAGGAGAACUGCUGAUUGGAAAUGUUUCCCUAUUGCUGCCACCAGUAAAAGCAGCCAGCAAUCUGCUGUGUUUGCAGGGUGAAACAGAGUACAGACUUUUUAGUCCUCAAUCCAGCGCUCACCUAAGAGAUUUAGGGCCAGAUAUCCCAUUUAUUUACACCUAUGUAAAAUUAAGGACAUUUCAUCCAAGUUAAUGUACCACCAGGUGGUGGAUUUUGCCUCAGAUCUCAUUAUUUGUUGGACUUUAAUUUAUAUUCAGCCACUGUGCAUAUACACACAUACAAAGCGGUAAUUUUUUACCAACAAUAGGAGUGGAGUUUGCUAUAUAAAUCAGCGUUUCUCAGUCAAUAUGUUGCAACCCCUGCAGGGGUUAUAAAAACCAUCUGGGGGCCUGUAAAGCACCGAAAAUUUUAUAACAAUCUAAAGCAAAGAAAAUGUCAUUUCUUCCACUCUCCAUAUAGCAGCACCAUUCUGUUGGCAGCCUGUCAAAACCAUACAAGAAACAAUAAAUUCUAUGGGCUUAUCACUUUCACC
ensembl:lncRNA